rnacentral:sRNA from 1 species
CUAAACUCAACCAGAAAGAUUGGGCAUUGCUGCAUGAUUUUCUAGCGGUUUGCUGACGAGCAGUCUCUUACCAGUCUGAUUCUUGUUGAUGACCCCUAGAAGCUUUGGGUAUUUUUUUAUUAUUGGAAUUCCACAAUAUCAGCAAUAGGCAUCUAGUUGUGUUUCAUGUCUUUUUCUCAUCCCCAUCUGUGUGACAUUCACUUGACUCUUUCAUUCUGAAGACCCUUGCCUUUCUUUGGGUCAGGGCCUUUGAGUAGUUCUUUAUCUUUCCCCUUCCCUUCUCUUUGUAUCAAUUGAAGAUUGUGUGUAAAUGCAACAGAAAAUUUGACUAAACAUUGGUUUUACAAA